rnacentral:rRNA from 1 species
AUUGAACGCUGGCGGCAGGCUUAACACAUGCAAGUCGAGCGGGGUGAUGGUGCUUGCACUAUCACUUAGCGGCGGACGGGUGAGUAAUGCCUAGGUAUCUGCCUAUUAGUGGGGGACAACAUCUCGAAAGGGAUGCUAAUACCGCAUCCGUCCUACGGGAGAAAGCAGGGGAUCACUUGUGAUCUUGCGCUAAUAGAUGAGCCUAAGUGGGAUUAGCUAGUUGGUGGGGUAAAGGCCUACCAAGGCGACGAUCUGUAGCGGGUCUGAGAGGAGUAGCCGCCACACUGGGACUGAGACACGGCCCAGACUCCUACGGGAGGCAGCAGUGGGGAAUAUUGGACAAUGGGGGGAACCCUGAUCCAGCCAUGCCGCGUGUGUGAAGAAGGCCUUAUGGUUGUAAAGCACUUUAAGCGAGGAGGAGGCUCUUUUGGUUAAUACCCAAGAUGAGUGGACGUUACUCGCAGAAUAAGCACCGGCUAACUCUGUGCCAGCAGCCGCCGUAA